CACGUCCAAGCAGGUAGUUGGGAGACAGGCAAAUCCGUUUCCCAGGAGCCCGAGAUGCGAUGGGGACUUCUGGAGACAGAAGCGAAGGGGCUGGCACUAAACUGUCGAGAAAAGCUUCUAGUGAGGACUCAGGCACCCGUACCGAAACCGACACAGGUAGGCAGGAUGAGAAUUCUAAGGUGCGCGGGAAAACCCUCGUUAAGGAACUCGGCAAAAAAUAUCCGUAACUUCGGGAAAAGGAUAACCCAGCGUACGUGAAGUGCAGAAACGCAUGGAGCGGAGAUGGGUGGCAGAAGAGAGGCCCAAGCGACUGUUUACCACAAACACAGGCGUCUGCUAAAGCGAAAGCUGAUGUAUAGAUGCUGACACCUGCCCGGUGCUGGAAGGUUAAGAGGAAGUGUUAGCGCAAGCGAAGCAGUGAAUUGAAGCCCCAGUAAACGGCGGCCGUAACUAUAACGGUCCUAAGGUAGCGAAAUUCCUUGUCGGGUAAGUUCCGACCCGCACGAAAGGUGUAACGAUUUGGGCACUGUCUCAACGAGGGACCCGGUGAAAUUGAAGUACCUGUGAAGAUGCAGGUUACCCGCGACUGGACAGAAAGACCCCAUGGAGCUUUACUGUAACCUGAGAUUGGAUUCCGGUAAGAGAUGUACAGGAUAGUUGGGAGGCUUAGAUGCAAGUACGCCAGUAUUUGCGGAGCCGCUGGUGGGAUACCAACCUUGUUUUAUUGGAAUUCUAACGAGAAGCGUAACGAGCUUGCGGACAGUCUCAGGCGGGCAGUUUGACUGGGGCGGUCGCCUCCGAAAGAGUAACGGAGGCGCCCAAAGGUUCCCUCAGCGCGGACGGAAACCGCGCGAAGAGUGCAAAGGCAGAAGGGAGCUUGACUGCGAGACGGACAGGUCGAGCAGGGACGAAAGUCGGGCUUAGUGAUCCGGUGGUAGAGAGUGGAAUUGCCAUCGCUCAACGGAUAAAAGCUACCCUGGGGAUAACAGGCUUAUCUCUCCCAAGAGUCCAUAUCGACGGGGAGGUUUGGCACCUCGAUGUCGGCUCAUCACAUCCUGGGGCUGAAGUAGGUCCCAAGGGUUGGGCUGUUCGCCCAUUAAAGUGGUACGCGAGCUGGGUUCAGAACGUCGUGAGACAGUUCGGUCCCUAUCCAUCGCGGGCGUAAGAAACUUGAAAGGGGCUGCUCCUAGUACGAGAGGACCGGAGUGGACCGACCAAUGGUGUACCAGUCAUGGCGCCAGCCGUGCAGCUGGGUAGCUACGUCGGGGACGGAUAAACGCUGAAAGCAUCUAAGCGUGAAACCAGCCUAGAGAUGAGGUUUCUCAUUGUUUUAACAAGUAAGGUCCCACAAAGACGAUGUGGUUGAUAGGCCGGGAGUGGAAGUACAGCGAUGUACGGAGCGGACCGGUACUAAUAGACCGAGGACUUGACUAA
rnacentral:rRNA from 1 species